rnacentral:rRNA from 1 species
CUUAUGCCGGCGACCGGCGGACGGGUGCGUAACGCGUAUGUAACCUACCUUUGACAGGGGGAUAACAUCGAGAAAUUGGUACUAAUACCCCAUAACAUCACCGGAGGCAUCUUCGGUGGUUGAAAACUCAGGUGGUCAGAGAUGGACAUGCGUUGUAUUAGCUAGUUGGUGAGGUAACGGCUCACCAAGGCGACGAUACAUAGGGGGACUGAGAGGUUAACCCCCCACAUUGGUACUGAGACACGGACCAAACUCCUACGGAAGGCAGCAG